AAGUCGUAACAAGGUUUCCGUAGGUGAACCUGCGGAAGGAUCAUUAACACGUAUCCAACGUUAAACCCCCCUGUGAACCUUCAGAAGUCCGUUCUCGUAACACCAGUGCGCCUCAGCAAUCCCGGUAAAUCAUUGUCGACCAGUAUUGAUUCGGGACCUCUGACAAAUGCCUUACGAUCGAGCUGUACAGUGACAUGGCUUCCAGUGAAUGAAAGUGUCACCGGAUAACGCCUCACGAUUGCUGGGUCGACCACCGGCCAGCUUCCAUGUCAUAGCCACUACUUUAUAGUUCGGGCUUGCUAAAUACACGCCCAAAAAAACGAACAACUGUUAACAAUGGAUAUCUUGGUUCUC
rnacentral:misc_RNA from 1 species